GACGAACGCUGGCGGCGUGCUUAACACAUGCAAGUCGAACGGAAAGGCCCUGCUUUUGUGGGGUGCUCGAGUGGCGAACGGGUGAGUAACACGUGAGUAACCUGCCCUUGACUUUGGGAUAACUUCAGGAAACUGGGGCUAAUACCGGAUAGGAGCUCCUGCUGCAUGGUGGGGGUUGGAAAGUUUCGGCGGUUGGGGAUGGACUCGCGGCUUAUCAGCUUGUUGGUGGGGUAGUGGCUUACCAAGGCUUUGACGGGUAGCCGGCCUGAGAGGGUGACCGGCCACAUUGGGACUGAGAUACGGCCCAGACUAAUACGGGAGGCAGCAGUGGGGAAUAUUGCACAAUGGGCGGAAGCCUGAUGCAGCAACGCCGCGUGCGGGAUGACGGACUUCGGGUUGUAAACCGCUUUCGCCUGUGACGAAGCGUGAGUGACGGUAAUGGGUAAAGAAGCACCGGCUAACUACGUG
rnacentral:rRNA from 1 species